CAGUAGAAAGUCCAGAGGCUCCUCCAAGUUUCUCCAGGGUCAUCUUCAUCUCAGGAGAUAAGCAGGAGCUUCUGAGCAGCACGGAUGAUGACACCUAUCUACCUGACGAGCCAAUGAUUUUAAUAGCAGGGAGUUCCUGGCAAGAUGUCCAUAGAAAUCAACUGGGAUCUCUGUUAGGAGGCUCAGGGUACACAAACUGUUACCCUCCACCACAGUAUGAAGGCGAAGACUCCCCAUCACAUGGUAAUCAUCACACUCAAA